rnacentral:rRNA from 1 species
GACGAACGCUGGCGGCGUGCCUAAUACAUGCAAGUCGAACGCAGUGGGGACGGGUGAGUAACACGUGGGUAACCUCCCAUCAGAGGGGAUAACACUUGGAAACAGGUGCUAAACCGAUACUGAUGGAUGGACCCGCGGUGCAUUAGCUAGUUGGUGAGGUAACGGCUCACCAACGCCACGAUGCAUAACAGACCUGAGAGGGUGAUCCGCCACACUGGGACUGAGACACGGCCCAGACGCCUACGGUAGGCAGCAGGAGGGAAUCUUGGGCAAUGGACGAAAGGCAGACCAAGCAACGCCGCGUGAGUGAAGAAGGUUUUCGGAUCGUAAAACUCUGUUGGUAGAGAAGCAGUAUCUAACCAAAAAGCCACGGCUAACUACGUGCCAGCAGCCGCGGGAAUUA